rnacentral:rRNA from 1 species
UUGACCUCGGAUCAGGUAGGGAUACCCGCUGAACUUAAGCAUAUCAAUAAGCGGAGGAAAAGAAACCAACAGGGAUUGCCCCAGUAACGGCGAGUGAAGCGGCAAAAGCUCAAAUUUGAAAUCUGGCCUCCUACGGGGGUCCGAGUUGUAAUUUGUAGAGGAUGCUUCGGGUGUGGCCGCCGUCUAAGUUCCUUGGAACAGGACGUCAGAGAGGGUGAGAAUCCCGUCUUGGGCGGCCGGUCCGCGCCCGUGUGAAGCUCCUUCGAAGAGUCGAGUUGUUUGGGAAUGCAGCUCUAAGCGGGUGGUAAAUUUCAUCUAAAGCUAAAUACUGGUCGGAGACCGAUAGCGAACAAG